rnacentral:rRNA from 1 species
GUCGGGGAAGGUGGGGAUGACGUCAAGUCAGCAUGGCCUUUAUGUCCAGGGCCACACACGUGCUACAAUGGACGGUACAGAGGGACGCAAGACCGCAAGGUGGAGCAAAUCCUCAAAACCGUUCUCAGUUCGGAUUGCAGGCUGCAAUUCGCCUGCAUGAAGCUGGAAUUGCUAGUAAUCGCAGAUCAGCUACGCUGCGGUGAAUACGUUCUCGGGCCUU